AACACACCCGCUUUAAGGACACUGACUGCUAUUCAAUCUAUAACAGUGAAAAAAAGUUUUUUGUUUUUUAAAUCCAAACUAUUGUGACACCAGAUCUAAUUAGUGGCACCUGUCAGCGUAUCCACUGUUAGCGUAACACGCCCGCUUUAAGGACACUGACUGCUAUUCAAUCUAUAACAGUGAAAAAAGAUUAUUAUUUUUUUUAAAUCAAAACUAUUGUGACACAG